UACGGGGGGGGCAAGCGUUGUUCGGAAUUACUGGGCGUAAAGGGCGCGUAGGCGGCCACCGCAAGUCGACUGUGAAAUCUCCGGGCUUAACCCGGAAAGGUCAGCCGAUACUGCGGGGCUAGAGUGCAGAAGGGGCAACUGGAAUUCUCGGUGUAGCGGUGAAAUGCGUAGAUAUCGAGAGGAACACCUGCGGCGAAGGCGGGUUGCGUGGGCUGACACUGACGCUGAUGCGCGAAAGCUAGGGGAGCGAACGGG
rnacentral:rRNA from 1 species